UUUAUGCUUGUUAAUGUAACUUGUUUGUCACAUGUUUUGAUGGAUAAAAUAACUAUUGUCAUUAUUAAAUGAAAUAAUAACUGGCAAUGAGAACGAAAUUGUAAUGCAGAGUUUCUUUGGAAGUCGUAGUUGCAAAGUGGUAUCUAAUAGUUAUAGGGAAAAUAUUUUAUUAGAUUAUUUACUUGCAUGUCAUUUGUAAUCAUCUCCAUACAUUUGACUUUACUUUAUGUCAAGCAAAGGCUGGUCAACUUAAUAUUUUCAAAAUGUUGUCUUACAGAAAUCCACUAUCAUAAAAUGUAAAGCCAAAACAAAGAGUAAAAAACAAACAAAAAACAAAACCAAAGUAGUAGCAAUGGCUAAUUCUUCAACAACUUUUAGAUAAAGCCUGGUGCUUAAAAGGUUUUACAAAGUAAAUAAAUGUGCCUAAUCUUAUCCUAAAUUAAAUAUUAAGACGAUGGAAUCUUCCUUAAAAAUUACUGAGUGAGAAGAAUUUUCAGGAGAUACUCUUCAUUAAUAUGCUAAUGUCAAUCUACUAGUUUACUCAAAACCCAAUCCCUUAGUGAAAAGAGCCUAGAUUUCCUUAUUAGACUUCAAUCCCUUGAAAAUCCUAAUAAGUAACUCCGCAUUAAGAAUUAAGAUUUAAGACAACUAAAGGUCCAAGUUCUAUUCCUAGACACAAUUUCCUUUAGGUAGCUUAUUCCAAGUCUAGGUUUAUAAGAUAUUUUCCAAUGUCAAACAAACCAAAUAUCAAGCUAUGAGUGGCCAAAACAUAACAAGCAUUAGGUGCAGGACAAAACUACUAGUAUUCAAUGAAAGAGGCAAUACAUAUAUUCAAAACAUCUUCAUAUUACAUAAGAGUUUGGUGGUUACAUCUAACCCUAACAAGAAUGAAGUUAGCUCUCCAUUGUCAUGGAGAGCUCAAGCUUACAAUGGAAGAAAUGGAAGAAAGUGGAGACCCAAGGAAGAAGAAAGGAGUGCUCCGACACACCCAAGCUAGCCUCCAAGUGCUCCAAGAGAGUAUUUUUGUGUUAGCCGCGAAAAGAUGAUACUCCCUUCGCGUUUUAGCAUUAAAUAGGUCAAAAAUGCCACAUC